ACUUCAUAAAGGCACUAUGUCUUCUGGAAUUGAGCUAAUAACGGUUUCUAGGAAAACUCACAAAAGUAGAGUUUGUGGGUCAAAGAAAGUUCCCUGCUGCCACAUUUGAUCUUUAAGUUAAAAAUGUCAUCUCCCUCCUCCAGGUCUCAUUCUAGGUUCCCCUUCUCUUGACUAACACUCCUCGCCUUCUGGCCUCUGGCAUGAGGGCUUCAAUGUGUUCAAGUGGCUACCACAGCUUUAAGUUUAAUGGAUAUCUUACUAUGCCUCCUGAUGGAAGAGUUGCUUGAUGACAACCAAGACCUUGAGCUCUACAAAGCCUAAAGUUACUGGGACUGGAUCCCCAGACACUUGAAAUGGAUCACUGAGAUCACUGAGAGUGAUGCUGAACAAAACACUUCCACUCUUACCACUUGGUUUCUAAAGCUAUGUAUUCUUCCUCUUGGGGAAAUAUCAUGAUACAAUGACUGCUUCAAAGAUGUUAGCUUCAAGUGUUGUAAUAUGAAAAGGUAUUAAAGAGGAAGACAUACUGCAGUGGGAUAAACAGCAAAAAUGAGAACAAUUUUAAUUUGCUGUAUGUGAAGAUGAUCUUAAACUCUUGUCUUCUUUUAACUUUGGUGGUGAAGAAUUCACAUAGCUUCCAUGAGCAUGCCUCUGUUAUUUGGAGCAGAGCAACAUGUAGACUCGCCAUCAUUCUGGGCAAUUGGAUCUUGGUAACAUUGCUGCAUUUCCUGAAUUGGAUGCCAAUAAAUUAUCUUUAAAUGACUUUAAAGUAUCUGAUUAGGUUUAGCUCCCUUAAGCUUUGAAUCUCUAAGAAUACAUCGGACCAUGUUAGCAAGAUUGCAGUAAACCAAGUCUAAUGGAAGAAGGGGUGUUACUUAAGGCAACAUG
rnacentral:lncRNA from 1 species